UACGUAGGUGGCGAGCGUUGUCCGGAUUUACUGGGCGUAAAGAGCGCGCAGGCGGUCGUACAAGUCGCGUGUGAAAGCCCCCGGCUCAACUGGGGAGGGUCACUCGAUACUGUUCGACUCGAAGGCAGGAGAGGGAAGUGGAAUUCCCGGUGUAGUGGUGAAAUGCGUAGAUAUCGGGAGGAACACCAGUGGCGAAGGCGACUUCCUGGCCUGUUCUUGACGCUGAGGCGCGAAAGCUAGGGUAGCAAACGGG
rnacentral:rRNA from 1 species